rnacentral:rRNA from 1 species
UACGUAGGGUGCGAGCGUUAAUCGGAAUUACUGGGCGUAAAGCGUGCGCAGGCGGCUAUUUAAGCUUGCUGUGAAAGCCCCGGGCUUAACCUGGGAACUGCAGUGAGGACUGGAUGGCUGGAGUGUGGCAGAGGGGGGUGGAAUUCCACGUGUAGCAGUGAAAUGCGUAGAGAUGUGGAGGAACACCGCUGGCGAAGGCAGCCCCCUGGGCUAACACUGACGCUCAGGCACGAAAGCGUGGGGAGCAAACAGG